AUUAGCAUAAAAAUUUUUAACCUUAGUGUUUAAUAUUUAAUUUAUUUAAUAAAAAUAUUUAUUUUAAUAAGAUUUUAAGUAUGAUAAGUAGAAAAAAUUAUUAAAAAUAUAAAAUUGUAAGAUUUUUAGUUAUUAUUAAAUAAGAAUAAUUAAAUUUUAAUUCCUUUUGUAUUAGGAUUAAUUAAAAAUUUUUUAUCUAAAUAAAUAUUUCGAAAUAAAAGGAAAUAAAAUAUAGGGAUAGUUAAUAUUUAAAUAUUAUUAUGAACUAUAUUUUUGUAAUGAGAUAUUAUUCGGCUUUUAUAUAUCUAAUUUUCUAAUAAAUAAAUUUAAUUUAUAAAAUUUUUUAUAUUUUAAAAAUUUUAAUCUUUUUAAAAUAAAGUAAUUUUAAAUUGUGAAAGAGAUAAAUUUUUCAUAAAUCUAAAAUAUAUUAAAUGGGUUUCAAUUAAAACUAAUAUUAAUAUUAUUGAAUUUAAAAAAUUUUUUAAUUAAUUGAUUAUAAAAAUAAAUUUUAUGGCAUAUUUAGACAUUUUAUUAAAAUAUUUAUUUAAAUAUUUAAAAUACCCAAAUAAUUAUUAAAUAAGUAGAAUAUAAAUAUAUAACAUAAUUAAACUAUUUUAAUGUAGAUUUUAAUAACUAGGCAAUAAAUUUUUUUCACCUGUUUAACAAAAAACAUGUCUUAUAAAAUAAAAUUUUAGGUUUAAUCUGUUCAAUGAAUAAAAUUUUAAAUAAUUGCAGUAUUCUAACUGUGCAAAGGUAGCAUAAUCACUUGUCUUUUAAUUGGGGACUGGAAUGAAAGAUUGAAUGAAAAAAAAACUUUUUUGAUUCUAAAAAUUGAACUUAUUUAAUGAGUAAAAAGACUCAUAUUUAAAUAUUAGACGAUAAGACCCUAUAAAAUUUUAUAUUUAAGGAAAUAAUUUACAAUAAGAAGGUAUUUUAUAGUUUAUAAAUAUUUAAUUGGGGUGAUUUUAAAAUUUUAGAAACUUUUAAAUUUAAAAUUAAAAUUAAAUAAAAUUUUUAACUAAUGAGAGUUUUGAUAUUAAAAAAAUUACUUUAGGGAUAACAGCACGAUUUUUUUUGAUAGUUCAAAUUAAUAAAAAAGAUUGUGACCUCGAUGUUGAAUUAAAAUAAAAUAUUAUAGAAAAAAAUAAUUAUUUUAGUCUGUUCGACUAUUAAAAUUUUACAUGAUUUGAGUUCAAAUCGGCGUGAGCCAGAUUGGUUUCUAUCUUUAUUAUUAUUUUAUAAAGGUGUACGAAAGGAUAUUUAUAAAUUAAAUUAUUUUA
rnacentral:rRNA from 1 species